GAUGAAGAACGCAGCGAAAUGCGAUACUUGGUGUGAAUUGCAGAAUCCCGUGAACCAUCGAGUCUUUGAACGCAAGUUGCGCCCGAAGCCGUCAGGCCGAGGGCACGCCUGCCUGGGCGUCACACGCCGUUGCCCCCCCGCGCCCCGCACCCAACUCUUUGGGAGCGACCGCGGGGCGGGCUGAUGAUGGCCUCCCGUGCGCUCCGCCGCGCGGUUGGCCCAAAUACCGAGUCCCCGGCGACGUGCGCCACGACGAUCGGUGGUUGAGAGACCUCUGUCGCAAGUCGUGCGCGCCCGUCGCGUCACGCGGGCUCGCAUAGCGCCUCGCGCCGCACCCGGUGCGGAGCUUUCAACGCGACCCCAGGUCAGGCGGGGUUACCCGCUGAAUUUAAGCAUAUCAAUAAGCGGAGUA
rnacentral:misc_RNA from 1 species